GUCAAGAUGGUGCCCAAGGCACUGGAAGUGAUGAAGGGGCUUCGAAGGGCUCAUGCAGGGAAAGAAAGGAGUUUACUUUACAUUAAAAGACAGAUGUUUACCAGCAGCUACUCAAGGGGACAUACAAAGUAUCUUACUGGACAUUAGGAAGGUGUGGAAUAAUAGUAAUAGGAGGAGUUAUAGGGAGAGGUUAUACGGAGUAAUAGGAGGAGUUAUAGAGAGAGGUUAUAUGGAGUAAUAGGAGAAGUUAUAGGGAGAGGUUAUAUGGAGUAAUAGGAGGAGUAAUAGGGAGAGGUUAUAUGGAGUAAUAGGUGGAGUUAUAGGGAGAGGUUAUAUGGAGUAAUAGGAGGAGUUAUAGGGAGAGGUUAUAUGGAGUAAUAGGAGGAGUUAUAGGGAGAGGUUAUAUGGAGUAAUAGGAGGAGU